rnacentral:rRNA from 1 species
CUACGGGAGGCUCCAGUCGAGAAUCUUCGGCAAUGGACGAAAGUCUGACCGAGCGACGCCGCGUGCGGGAUGAAGGCCUUCGGGUUGUAAACCGCUGUCAGUUGGGAGGAAAUCACAUGGGGUUCUCCCCAUGUGUUGACCUAUCUUCAGAGGAAGUACGGGCUAAGUUCGUGCCAGCAGCCGCGGUAACACGAACCGGCAAACGUUAUUCGGAAUUACUGGGCGUAAAGCGUGCGUAGGCGGCGGAUUAAGUCAGAUGUGAAAGCCCUGGGCUCAACCUGGGAACUGCAUUUGAUAGUGGUCUGCUAGAGUCUGGUAGAGGGGAGUGGAAUUCCGGGUGUAGCGGUGAAAUGCGUAGAUAUGCGGAGGAACAUCAGUGGCGAAGGCGGCUGCCUGGACCAAGACUGACGCUGAGGUACGAAAGCGUGGGUAGCAAACAGGAUUAGAUACCCGCGUAGUC